rnacentral:rRNA from 1 species
CCUACGGGCGGCAGCAGUGAGGAAUAUUGGUCAAUGGACGGAAGUCUGAACCAGCCAAGUAGCGUGCAGGAUGACGGCCCUAUGGGUUGUAAACUGCUUUUAUGCGGGGAUAAAGUUAGUCACGUGUGACUAUUUGCAGGUACCGCAUGAAUAAGGACCGGCUAAUUCCGUGCCAGCAGCCGCGGUAAUACGGAAGGUCCUGGCGUUAUCCGGAUUUAUUGGGUUUAAAGGGAGCGUAGGCCGUGGAUUAAGCGUGUUGUGAAAUGUAGACGCUCAACGUCUGACUUGAAGCGCGAACUGGUGCACUUGAGUGUGCGCAACGCAGGCGGGAUUCGUGGUGUAGCGGUGAAAUGCUUAGAUAUCACGAAGAACUCCGAUUGCGAAGGCAGCUUGCGGGAGCACAACUGACGCUGAAGCUCGAAAGUGCGGGUAUCAAACAGGAUUAGAGACCCUGGUAGUC